GAACUUAAGCAUAUCAAUAAGCGGAGGAAAAGAAACUAACAAGGAUUCCCUCAGUAACUGCGAGUGAAGUGGGAAAAGCUCAAAUUUGAAAUCUGGCAGCUCUUUCAGGUUGUCCGAGUUGUAAUCUAGAGAAGCGUUACCUGUGUUGGACCGUGUAAAAGUCUUCUGGAAUGGAGCAUCAUAGAGGGUGAGAAUCCCGUCUUUGACAUGGACUACCAGCAUGCCAAGGUGCACUCUCAAAGAGUCGAGUUGUUUAGGAAUGCAGCUCAAAAUGGGUGGUAAAUGCCAUCUAAAGCUAAAUAUUGGCGAGAGACCGAUAGCGAACAAGUACCGUGAGGGAAAGAUGAAAAGAACUUUGGAAAGAGAGUUAAACAGUACGUGAAAUUGCUGAAAGGGAAACGCUUAAAGUCAGUCGCAUUAGCUGGAAAUCAGGCUUGCUUUUGCAAGGUGCACUUUCUAGUUGAUGGGUCAGCAUCAAUUUUAAUCGUUGGAUAAAGUCAUUGGGAAUGUGGCAUCUUUGGAUGUGUUAUAGCCCAGUGUUGAAUACAGCGGUCAGGAUUGAGGAAUUCAGCAUGCCUCUAGGGGCCAGGUUUCGACCAUGUUCAUGCUUAGGAUGCUGGCAUAAUGGCUUUAAUCGACCCGUCUUGAAACACGGACCAAGGAGUCUAACAUGCCUGCGAGUGUUUGGGUGAAAAACCCAUACGCACAAUGAAAGUGAAAGUUGAGAUCCUUAGGGAGCAUUGACGCCCGGACCAGACCUUCUGUGACGGAUCCGCGGUAGAGCAUGUAUGUUGGGACCCGAAA
rnacentral:rRNA from 1 species